rnacentral:tRNA from 1 species
GAUAAGGUGGCUGAAAAUUAGGCAGUAAAUUGUAAAUUUACUUAUGGUUAAUUAAACCUCUUGUCA